UCAGGCCUAACACAUGCAAGUCGAGCGGUAGCAGGAAGUGCUUGCACUUCGCUGACGAGCGGCGGACGGGUGCGUAACACGUAGGAAUCUGCCUGGUAGUGGGGGAUAGCCCGGAGAAAUCCGGAUUAAUACCGCAUACGCCCUAAGGGGGAAAGGAGGGGAUCUUCGGACCUUUCGCUAUCAGAUGAGCCUGCGUCGGAUUAGCUUGUUGGUGGGGUAAAGGCCUACCAAGGCGACGAUCCGUAGCUGGUCUGAGAGGAUGAUCAGCCACACUGGGACUGAGACACGGCCCAGACUCCUACGGGAGGCAGCAGUGGGGAAUAUUGCACAAUGGGCGAAAGCCUGAUGCAGCCAUGCCGCGUGUGUGAAGAAGGCCCUAGGGUUGUAAAGCACUUUCAGUGGGGAGGAAAGGUUGAAGGUUAAUACCCUUUGGCUGUGACGUUACCCACAGAAGAAGCACCGGCUAACUCCGUGCCAGCAGCCGCGGUAAUACGGAGGGUGCGAGCGUUAAUCGGAAUUACUGGGCGUAAAGCGUGCGUAGGCGGCCACCUAAGUUGGAUGUGAAAGCCCCGGGCUCAACCUGGGAACUGCAUCCAAAACUGGGUGGCUAGAGUACGGGAGAGGAGUGUGGAAUUUCCUGUGUAGCGGUGAAAUGCGUAGAUAUAGGAAGGAACACCAGUGGCGAAGGCGACACUCUGGC
rnacentral:rRNA from 1 species